rnacentral:rRNA from 1 species
ACGUAGGCAGCGAGCGUUGUUCGGAGUUACUGGGCGUAAAGAGUAUGUAGGCGGUUCUCCAAGUCUGGUGUGAGAUCUCCCGGCUCAACCGGGAGGGUGCAUUGGAAACUGGGGGGCUGGAGUGCGGGAGAGGGAAGCGGAAUUCCUGGUGUAGCGGUGAAAUGCGUAGAUAUCAGGAGGAACACCGGUGGUGUAGACGGCUUUCUGGACGGCCACUGACGCUGAGGCACGAAAGCGUGGGGAGCAAACAG